rnacentral:rRNA from 1 species
UACGUAGGGGGCGAGCGUUGUCCGGAUUCAUUGGGCGUAAAGAGCUCGUAGGCGGCUUGGCAAGUCGGAUGUGAAAACUCCAGGCUUAACCUGGAGCCGCCAUUCGAUACUGCUAUGGCUAGAGUCCGGUAGGGGAGUGUGGAAUUCCCGGUGUAGCGGUGAAAUGCGCAGAUAUCGGGAGGAACACCGAUGGCGAAGGCAGCACUCUGGGCCGGCACUGACGCUGAGGAGCGAAAGCGUGGGGAGCGAACAGG